GAGACUCUGUGCGCGUGCAUAUCAAUAAGCGGAGGAAAAGAAACUAACAAGGAUUCCCUUAGUAACGGCGAGUGAAGCGGGAAGAGCUCAAAUUUGAAAUCUUCAAGGUUUUACCUUGACGAAUUGUAGUUUAAAGAAGUGUUUUCUGUUGAAGUUUUGGUAAAAGUUCUUUGGAAUAGGACAUCAUAGAGGGUGAGAAUCCCGUAUUUGGUUAUUCAUUCUAGCUUUGUGAUACACUUUCAAAGAGUCGGAUUGUUUGGGAAUGCAGUCCAAAAUGGGUGGUAAAUUUCAUCUAAAGCUAAAUAUUGGCGAGAGACCGAUAGCGAACAAGUACCGUGAGGGAAAGAUGAAAAGAACUUUGAAAAGAGAGUUAAACAGUACGUGAAAUUGUCAAAAGGGAAGCGUUUGACACCAGUGUUGUUUUUCCGAAAAUCAAUUACGAAUGGCUUGAUUUUGUGUUGUAUUGACCUUAUCAGCUUUCUUCACUUUUUUCGAGUCUUUCUUAAUGCACUUUUCGGUUAACAAGUCAACAUCAAUUUCUUUUGUUGUAAAAGAGUAUUCGGAAGGUGGCUUUCUUUUCGGAGAAAGUGUUUAUAGCCCUAUACUUCUACAAUCGGAGAGAUUGAGGUCUGCAGCGUAGAUCCUUCGGGGUUAGAUACAUUUGUGCUAAGUUGUAGCUUUUCAUAGACAACUUGUUGACUAUGUUUAGUCAUGCGGCUUACUCGCUUAUGCUAUUUUACCUACGCUUAGGAUGUUGACUGAUAUGUAGUCGUA
rnacentral:rRNA from 1 species